UACGUAGGGAGCAAGCGUUAUCCGGAUUUAUUGGGUGUAAAGGGUACGUAGGCGGCCUCAUAAGUCUGUGGUUUAAGCCCGAAGCUUAACUUCGGUUCGCCACAGAAACUGUUUGGCUUGAGUAUGGUAGAGGCAAGUGGAAUUUCUAGUGUAGCGGUUAAAUGCGUAGAUAUUAGAAGGAACACCAGUGGCGAAGGCGACUUGCUGGGCCAUUACUGACGCUGAGGUACGAAAGCGUGGGGAGCAAAUAGG
rnacentral:rRNA from 1 species